GUGGGGAAUAUUGCACAAUGGGCGAAAGCCUGAUGCAGCGACGCCGCGUGAGCGAUGAAGUAUUUCGGUACGUAAAGCUCUAUCAGCAGGGAAGAUAAUGACGGUACCUGACUAAGAAGCACCGGCUAAAUACGUGCCAGCAGCCGCGGUAAUACGUAUGGUGCAAGCGUUAUCCGGAUUUACUGGGUGUAAAGGGAGCGUAGGCGGCGUGGUAAGUCAGAAGUGAAAGCCCGGGGCUCAACCCCGUGACUGCUUUUGAAACUAUCAUGCUAGAGUGUCGGAGAGGUAAGUGGAAUUCCUAGUGUAGCGGUGAAAUGCGUAGAUAUUAGGAGGAACACCAGUGGCGAAGGCGGCUUACUGGACGAUAACUGACGCUGAGGCUCGAAAGCGUGGGGAGCAAACAGGAUUAGAUACCCGGGUAGUCC
rnacentral:rRNA from 1 species